rnacentral:rRNA from 1 species
GACGUAGGAGGCGAGCGUUAUCCGGAUUCACUGGGCGUAAAGCGCAUGUAGGCGGUUGGACAAGUCGUGUGUUAAAGCCCCUGGCUCAACUGGGGGAGGUCAUGCGAGACUGUGCGACUUGAGGGCAAGAGAGGCACGUGGAACUCCCGGUGUAGCGGUGGAAUGCGUAGAGAUCGGGAAGAACACCAGUGGCGAAGGCGACGUGCUGGGUUGCACCUGACGCUGAGAUGCGAAAGUGAGGGGAGCAAACGGG